rnacentral:rRNA from 1 species
CAGCGCCGCGGUAAUACGUAGGGUGCAAGCGUUGUCCGGAAUUAUUGGGCGUAAAGAGCUCGUAGGCGGUUUGUCGCGUCUGCUGUGAAAUCCCGAGGCUCAACCUCGGGCUUGCAGUGGGUACGGGCAGACUAGAGUGCGGUAGGGGAGAUUGGAAUUCCUGGUGUAGCGGUGGAAUGCGCAGAUAUCAGGAGGAACACCGAUGGCGAAGGCAGAUCUCUGGGCCGUAACUGACGCUGAGGAGCGAAAGCGUGGGGAGCGAACAGGAUUAGAGACCCGCGUAGUCCCUGUCUCUUAUACC